UCCUACCGUCGGACCUCUCAGGCUCCUCC
rnacentral:piRNA from 1 species